rnacentral:lncRNA from 1 species
UUCAUCACGGUUGACAAUUGUUCGACGCGGAUGGGUAAGCCGCUAAAGAGCGACACCGGCUUAUAAUGAUCGAAACGUCAUCAGCGCACCUGGCGCCGCCACCUGCAGUAGUUCGCUUGCUUCUUAGAGAGAGAGAGAGAGA